UGAGAGCAUCUGAGAAAGCCUAGGCAUGGCAGCUGUAGCAGAAAUGCUAAGUCACAGCUUGAAGCAGUGAUUGAGCACCUGGUGGAAGGCAGGGCCAACCCAGGGCAGCUCAGGUGUAUGCAAUGAAUCUGAGUGACCAGAAGGGCUGGAGCCAGGAUCCACCCCUGCCCAGACCUCAUUUAAGGGUUGGCAGUGGAAGCAAGGACUCCUUUCUGGAUAUUCCUGUAUACCUGAGUCCUGCUGAAGGUUUGCUGGAAAUCUGCGUUUGAAUCAUGAAAUGCACUUUUCAAUGGACGCAGCAUUCUGGUAACUGGAACAAUAACCAUUCACAAGAUGAGGGUAACUCAGAUGACUCAAUGCUUCCCGCUGAGCUGCUUUCCUUCCCUCACUUGUGCCUUCCCGUGGAGUUUUCAGCCAUCUCAGAACAGAAGCAGUGGGAACUCUCCCAGUUGGGUUGAGCUCUCUGAGCUCCCUUCCAUCAGUGCCAGCCUGGAAGGAUUUAUGAGCACUUCUCUCAGCCUGGCAUGUGGUGUGCAGAUGUCUCAAGACUGGCUCAGCUUUGAACUCCCUCUAACCAUUCAAUUUUUUCAGUUGUGCAUCACUGUUAAUUUCCUCCAACUCAUCUUCUGGGGGUGGAGGGCUGGAAAGCAGCUUCUUUUUCCCUGCUCAGAGACAGCCUCUGUGGUCCCACAGAAGGGAGAUGGCAGCGUCACUCCCUUGGGAAGGGCUGUGAGAUGGCAGCAGGAACGGUGCUGGAGUUACCCCAUUCUUGAGGGGCUCGAAGGGAAAACCUCUGCCACCUGGGUGGGUGUGCAUGAUGUGAGGGUGCACUGAGAUGUG
rnacentral:lncRNA from 1 species